CCUAGGAACACUACUUAGUUAGUGCAAAAUGUGCAUUUAUCCCUAUUUGAAAACAAACUCUCUUUCCUAAGGAUUUCCAAAACACUUCCACUACAAAAAAACGUUUUUCCCACGGAAUUUUUCCCACCGAAUUAAUUCCGUCGGAAAUAUUUGAAUUUUGGACAGAAUUUUUUCCAUGGAAUUCAUUUCGUCGGAAGUAUAACUUACCCAAGGAGAUUCGUUUGUCGAAAAUUUGAUAGCUUUCCAGCAGAUUAUUUCAAUGGAAUAUGCAUCUGUCGGAAUUUAAAAAUUUUCCCAAACAUAAAGACCCCAACCCUAAUUGCCUCUCUUUCAAUUUUCAAUCUUAUAUCAUUUCUUCCUCCCAUGGCACCAUCGCUCGCUCCCGUCGUGUCACCGACAUUGCUGCGCCGCCACUGCGAACCCACACAAGGAUUGUCACCCCCGCCGUCUUUCUUCACUGGGGCUGCAACAUCAUUGAUUAUGGGUCUCUACGCCCUUCACAAGGGAUUGUCGCGCCUGCCAAUAAUACAUAACAACACAUCCUAGGGUUCGUGGUCCCAUUCUCUUUGUCCUUUGCCUUUGUAUUCCCUCACAACAACGAUCAUUUGAAAGUUGAAGAGGUAAAUGAAUUUGGUCUCUUUCUUUUGUAUCUCUGGUUUUGAACUUAUCUAGAUGAAAUUGUAAUUUUGAUACUACAAGUAGCUAAGAAACCUGUAUUAAGUUUUUUGUUUGAAAUAUUUGUUUGAAGCAUAGAUUAUAUAUUGUAGUGAUGAAAAUAAUGUACAAACAUAUAUAAUUAUUGUAAAUAUUAAUGAACAUACGUAGUAAGCAGUGACUGUGCCAGCAAAGUUGCCGACAAUGAGCUUGAGCUGCAUAUCAAUCCUCCCAAAUAGGUAUUCUUUCUUUGAUUUGAAGUCAGAGCCAAAGACUUUGUCUAGGGAAAGUGAUAGAAGCUGGCCAUCAUUGAAUAUGUUAGCACGGUCGCCACCCCAUGUUAGAUCAAAGUCUUGGUAGAAGCUAGAAGCACAGAUGCAACCAUAGUGCUAACCAGUAUCCCAACUAGCAUAAGCACAUAGAACCCAUUGUUGUGAGCAGAACUAGGAGCCAUUUUGGACACA